UUAAUGAGAGUUUGAUCCUGGCUCAGGACGAACGCUGGCGGCGUGCCUAAUACAUGCAAGUAGAACGCUGAGGUUUGGUGUUUACACUAGACUGAUGAGUUGCGAACGGGUGAGUAACGCGUAGGUAACCUGCCUCAUAGCGGGGGAUAACUAUUGGAAACGAUAGCUAAUACCGCAUAAGAGUAAUUAACACAUGUUAGUUAUUUAAAAGGAGCAAUUGCUUCACUGUGAGAUGGACCUGCGUUGUAUUAGCUAGUUGGUGAGGUAAAGGCUCACCAAGGCGACGAUACAUAGCCGACCUGAGAGGGUGAUCGGCCACACUGGGACUGAGACACGGCCCAGACUCCUACGGGAGGCAGCAGUAGGGAAUCUUCGGCAAUGGACGGAAGUCUGACCGAGC
rnacentral:rRNA from 1 species